GCUCCUGCAAGCGCGACAUGGAAUGCUUUAGCAUCGGUACCGGCGGCUGGGAGGAACGUGCUGCAUUGAGACCCGAGUGGCGUAGAUACCUAUGCGUGGGAGUGAAGAAGCACGACGAAGUGUGGCUGGAAAACUUGAUACAUAAAAGGUACAGGCCCGGCCCUGCUGGUAGGGUCUCAUAUCCAGAGGCUCAACAAACCCAUACAUGCGACUUAUGCGGCAAGAAGUGCCGUGCAG